AUGAACGCUGGCGGCCGCGCUUAACACAUGCAAGUCGAACGAUUAAAGCACUUUGGGUGUGUAUAAAGUGGCGAACGGCUGAGUAACACGUGGGCAACCUGCCCCUCUCAUUGGGAUAGCCACGGGAAACCGUGGAUAAUACCGAAUACUUCGAGUCUCCCGCAUGGAAGACUCGAGAAAGCUCCGGCGGAGAGGGAUGGGCCCGCGGCCUGUUAGCUUGUUGGUGGGGUAACGGCCUACCAAGGCAAUGAUGGGUAGCUGGGUUGAGAGACCGACCAGCCAGAUUGGGACUGAGACACGGCCCAGACUCCUACGGGAGGCAGCAGUGGGGAAUCUUGCACAAUGGGCGAAAGCCUGAUGCAGCGACGCCGCGUGCGGGAUGAAGGCCUUCGGGUUGUAAACCGCUUUCAGCAGGGACGAGGCGAAAGUGACGGUACCUGCAGAAGAAGCCCCGGCUAACUACGUGCCAGCAGCCGCGGUAAUACGUAGGGGGCAAGCGUUAUCCGGAUUCAUUGGGCGUAAAGCGCUCGUAGGCGGUCUGUUAGGUCGGGAGCUAAAUCCGGGGGCUCAACCCCCGUUCGCUCCCGAUACCGGCAGACUUGAGUUUGGUAGGGGAAGGUGGAAUUCCUAGUGUAGCGGUGGAAUGCGCAGAUAUUAGGAAGAACACCAGUGGCGAAGGCGGCCUUCUGGGCCAUAACUGACGCUGAGGAGCGAAAGCUAGGGGAGCAAACAGG
rnacentral:rRNA from 1 species